GUCACCUGUGACUGUUCAAGCGCUACGGACGUCGUCGGUGGAUACUCCGGAAAAAAUCCGGAAAAGCGAGGGAAAUUCGCAGAGAGAGUUCUUUCGCCGCAUUUAUCCGUUCUUUUGGGAAAACCACAUGAAAACAUUCCGGUGGCAAACAGGUUGCCAUAAACCCCCCCACCAACAAAAACAACAACGUUGCCAAAUCAAACACGUGCACGGCAACGGAAAAGGUUAACGAGAACAGCAACAGCAACAAAAAAAGGCAACAAAAAUUGUUAACAACAUUACCUCUUUUAUUUUUUUGCUUUUUAUCAGACAAAGCCAAAUAAACCAAAAUU